AUUACGACAUAUCAGUGCAAUAACCUGCAACUAGAUCUCAGCUGCAAUUCUGUAUUUAUUACAUCACUCGGCGAUAUUCAAAAGUAGUUUAUUGAUAAAUUUCAUUUAGUUGAAUGCAACUUAUCGAAGUUCGGAAAAUAGAAAUACUAAUUAAUCAAUCAAUCUCUUGGUUUAAUGGCGUUUCCUUAUAGAUUUCGCCAAUGUCAAGUGUAUAUAAUACUCUGCUUUAUAAAGCGGGUCUCGUGAACUAACAAGGCACAGAUUAUAACUAAGAAUUAAAAUUCCGAGCAACGAAUUUGUCGUAGAUUUCAAUUUACUGCGGAGAUUAUUGUCAUGAGUAUUCUUAAAUCUUAUGGGCCAGGAUCUAGCUUAGGCAGAGAUUUCUGAUUAAUUAUUGGGCCGUGUGGAAGGCAAGAGAUAACGCGGCUGAUCACCAACCCACUGGGCUGACGUAAUAAAGAAGGCAACUGAGUCAAUAUACUCGAAACGCUUCGAUCCCCCAGAUACGGAAGCGCAUCGCCAGGAAGGCUCUCCUUGGUAUCAUGGGCGACCUAACGAAUGCUUCUGCGUGUACGCAUAACGCAGUCAGCGCAACCACGACCACUCAACAAGUCAACCAUUGACAUGAGUGUCCGACUAUGAAGAAUAGCACUGUUGUAAUAUUUAUGGUGUUUUAGCGUCUCAGCUUCUAAAUUCAAUAUUAAGAAAGAUUAUUUUAAAGGAAAUCUUAAGAAUUCUUUGAAACUAAUUAAAAUUUUGCAGCGUUAAUUUUGAAAAGAUAAAAUCAUGAAUAUUCCUAUUCGGUAUGUUUUUAGUGUUUUGAUUUCUUGUAAAUUAGUUAAUGUUAUGAAACAAGAGUAAAUGCUUUUUUUACAUUUUAUUA